rnacentral:lncRNA from 1 species
AUCGUUCCCACGAGAAUUGAAUUAGUUCUAAUUAGACUAAUGUGACCUUAACCGAAUCUAAUUGAAUGAAAUUUUGAUUUAAAUGUGAAAACCCCUAAUUGUGGGAGAAAUCCCCAAUUUGAAACCCUAAUUGAAAUCCCCCAACAUUUCCUGCAACCAUCUAUGCGACCGCAUAGAUAUAACCAACUAUGUAGUCCUUACAUUUUGGUCCCUGAACUUCCUUGUUGCUUCUCUUGACUUCUUUCUUCGAUUUCUUCAUCUUUUCAACAAAUUUUUAUCUUCCAAUUGAUGGUUGACACCAUCAAAUCUCAUGCCACUCAUUCGGCACAUCUUUUGAGUAUUUGCACCUUUAGUCCUCCAUCUUUCAAUUGUCUUCAAUUCAGUCCCUUUUCACUUCUUUCUUCUUCCAAUUGUUUUGCUUUGUCAUUGAGCUCAUACUUGGCAUGUUGUUACUUUCAUUUUGCAUUUAGCUUAACUUCUCAAUAUUUGCACAUUUGGUCCUCGAACUAUCACUUUGUUGAAUUUUGGUCCUUCUUCGGCUCUUUUCUCCUGAAUUCCACAAUUUCCAUUGAAAUACCUACAUUGCAUGAAUUUAAUAAGAUUAAGCCACAAUUCAACCACUUUAUCCAUGUUUAAGUCAU